CGGGUGGUGGCGCAGCCCGGUAGCGCACUUGCAUGGGGUGCAAGUGGUCGCUGGUUCGAAUCCAGUCCACCCGACCA
rnacentral:tRNA from 1 species